UACAGAGGUCUCAAGCGUUGUUCGGAUUCAUUGGGCGUAAAGGGUGUGUAGGUGGCGCCGUAAGUCGGGUGUGAAAUUUCGGAGCUUAACUCCGAAACUGCAUUCGAUACUGCCGGUGCUUGAGGACUGGAGAGGAGACUGGAAUUGAGGUGUAGCGUGAAAUGCGUAGAGAUCAUGAGGAAGACCAGUGGCGAAGGCGGGUCUCUGGACAGUUCCGUGACGCUGAGACACGAAGGCCAGGGGAGCAAACGGGGAUUAGAACCCGUCCAGUCA
rnacentral:rRNA from 1 species